AGGCCGAUGAUUUAAAGCCGGGAAGGAAGCCAAUCGUGAGCAGUGCCAGGCAGGAAACGUCCUGGAGAAUGACCCAGGCUGAUACCCAGACAUGGCGGAAUAGACAGACUGGCCAAGUGGUGCAGAACUAACUUGAGGAGCACAGCUUGCCUGCUGCCAGAUAGCCUGUGUGAGGGGUGGGGUUGCGGGGGAGUGAGAGAGGGACUGUGACAGUGGAAAGGAGAGACCUGAUGUUAGAGAGACUUCAAAGAAGAAAUGGCAGGAACUGGAGAACUGUAAAAGAAAACACGGAUGAAAGGAAAGAGGAGGGAACUUCUACACUCAGGUUGUCUGUCGUCUCUGGUGGUCCAUGAGCUGGUGGGGAAUGAGAGAAAGCUGGAGCUAAACAGGAACCCAAGAGAAAAUUGCAGAUUCCCCAACGGAGCUCCUCCUGGGACGGAGAUAUACAAUGGCAACAG
rnacentral:lncRNA from 1 species